AGAAAACAACAACAUUUUUAACACCUACAGCAGAAAAGAAAUUAGUCGACAACUUUGUGGAAUCAUUGACAGAAAAUGUAAAACCAAUAAACGAGACCAUGUUCGAAGUCAUUGAACUAACCAGAUCAUGGGUCAUCAACCUCAAGGAGAAAACAUGCAGUUGCAACAGAUUCCAACUUGAUGAGUUACCGUGUGCUCAUGCGCU